rnacentral:sRNA from 1 species
UAUUUAAACUAUUUCAGGAUCAGAUGAUCAGACUGACCUAGCAGACUCCUCCAGUCCUGGGGAUGAGAAUCAAGAUACAGAUCCUCAUCAUUUCACUAGUGACCAGUCCAAAGUCCAGUCAGAUGAGGUUGAAGGUCCACUAAUUGGUAAUCAUGAAACUCAGGA